AACGAACGCUGGCGGCAUGCCUAACACAUGCAAGUCGAACGAGACCUUCGGGUCUAGUGGCGCACGGGUGCGUAACGCGUGGGAACCUGCCCUUAGGUUCGGAAUAACUCCCCGAAAGGGGUGCUAAUAACGGAUAAUGUCUUCGGACCAAAGAUUUAUCGCCGUUGGAUGGGCCCGCGUUGGAUUAGCUAGUUGGUAGUGUAAAAGCCUACCAAGGCGACGAUCCAUAGCUGGUCUGAGAGGAUGCUCAGCCACACUGGGACUGAGACACGGCCCAGACUCCUACGGGAGGCAGCAGUGGGGAAUAUUGGACAAUGGGCGAAAGCCUGAUCCAGCAAUGCCGCGUGAGUGAUGAAGGCCUUAGGGUUGUAAAGCUCUUUUACCCGGGAUGAUAAUGACAGUACCGGGAGAAUAAGCUCCGGCUAACUCCGUG
rnacentral:rRNA from 1 species